UGGGGAAUAUUGGGCAAUGGAGGAAACUCUGACCCAGCAACGCCGCGUGAAGGACGAAGGUUUUCGGAUUGUAAACUUCUGUCGCGAGGGACGAAGAAUGACGGUACCUCGUAAGAAAGCCCCGGCAAACUACGUGCCAGCAGCCGCGGUAAUACGUAGGGGGCAAGCGUUGUCCGGAAUGACUGGGCGUAAAGGGAGUGUAGGCGGUCUUUUAAGUUACAUGUGGAAUCCCACGGCUUAACCGUGGAACUGCAUGUAAAACUGGAGGACUGGAGUGCAGGAGAGGCAAGUGGAAUUCCCUGUGUAGCGGUGAAAUGCGUAGAUAUCACGCAGAACUCCGAUUGCGAAGGCAGCUUACUAUCCUACACCUGACGCUGAAGCACGAAAGCGUGGGUAUCGAACA
rnacentral:rRNA from 1 species